GGGCAAAGCUGCCAGAUAAAUACAUGGACGACUUCAAAGUAGUUCACUGGCUAGCUAAGAGGCAUGGAGUAGUCCUGAUCCCUGGAAGUUCCAGCGGUUGUCCAGGUUAUCUUAGGAUCGCCUUUGGAGGAUUGAUUGAGAAGGACUGUCGAGUAGCUGCAGAAAGGCUCAGAAAAGGUUUGGAAGAGCUGGUAAAUUUUGGAAUGGUUUCAUGAUUCUCUCCUUGACAUAAGUCAUCAACAAAACCACUAAAGACACUUUGUA
rnacentral:misc_RNA from 1 species